AGGGCUUGAGUUGAGUUCUCUCCUCUUUCCUCUCUUUCUGUGAUCUCAGCACUCAGGAGGCUAAGGCAGGAGAAUCACCUCGAGCUCGAGGCCAGCCUGCACUACAUAGCAAAACCCUGUCUCAAGAAAAGAGGAAAAAAGAGGACCUCAUGCAUUGUUAGAAGAGCAGCCACAGAGACACCAUUAUUUCAACUCACCCAGGUAGCAUCACUGAAAAAUGAAUAAGGAGUUUCAUGAAACAACCGUGGUUCUGCAGAAUAAAAAAGUAAAGCACAAGAAAGAAGCUCAUUUUCUUCCUGGUCCUAGGAUUGUCAGACAGCAUGUCUCCGGGCACAUACCCAUUCAGGCGCUGGUCUCAGGUAGGAAAUCUCUCAGACUGACCCUAUCGUAGCAUUUCCAUUCCUCCUGAUACCAUUUUCAAGAAAGAGAAUCAUCACAACAUGUUAAUAUCUCUUAGAAAGGCAUAAAACCUUUCCUGGUUAGGUCACCAAAUGACAGUAACAGUAAGUUGAUGAUGAGAUAGAGAUGCAAAUGCUUACAGUGGUCUCAGUAUUUUCAUUCAGACUGGAAAUAUAAUAUACAGUGAAGCUUUUAUCAUUUUAAGUACUUUAUAUGUGGAAAGAUUUGACGGAACAGACCAUGCUACUUAUACAGUGUGUUAGUCAAACCCUCAUCAUUAAUUAAUUAAGC